rnacentral:rRNA from 1 species
UAGAUUGAUAAAUUGAUUAAUUUUAUUGUUUUAGGUUUAUUUGCCUUUUGCAUUAUGCUUAGUGGAUUUAUAUAAGGUAUCUUUUUAAUCGAAUAGUUUGGAUCUUAAUGUCAGUUGUUUAGAAUAGGUUUUUGGUUGAGUAAAUCUAAAUAAAUUGGUUUUAUGAAGUGAUAAGUUAAUUCGUUAAAUUUUAUUUCUAUUUAGUUGCUUUAAUAGUUUGGAUUAUGUGGUAGGUUAAAAGAUUUACUACAAUAUUAUACUCUUUAUUAUAAUUUAUUAAGAUUAGGUUAGAAGUACCUAUUUUUUGUAAGUUUGUUAUAAAAGGUUAUAAAUUUAUGAUGAAGUUUGGUUGUGUGGCAACUUGUCGAUAAUAUAUAGUGUAAUAUUUAUCAUUAAAUUAGUAAUUAUAUUAUACUAAUUAUUUCUCAGGGUCUUUCCGUCUGUUUAUUAAAAACAUUUCUAGUUUAAAUAAUAACUAGUAGUGCCUGCCCAGUGUUUUUUGAAAUGAAUAAAUGGCCGCAGUAUAUUGACUGUGCAAAGGUAGCAUAAUUAAUUGCCUUUUAAUUGGGGGCUUGUUUGAAUGGUUUGACGUGAGAGAUGCGAAUAUUUAGUAUUAAUUUGAAUUUGGUGUUAGGGAUACAGAAUUCCUAAAUGUUUAAUAAGACGGAAAGACCCUGGGAUCUUUUUUUUUCGCUUGGGGCAAGUUUCAUUAUUUCAAUGAAAUUAGGAUCUUAAGUAUAGAUUAUUGGGUUAAGUUACCCCAGGGAUAACAGUGUGAUAAUUAAUAAGAGAUCUUAUCGAAUUAAUUGUUUGCCACCUCGAUGUUGACUUAGGUUAGAAUUUAGGUGUAGUAGCUUAGAUUUAUGGUCUGUUCGACCGUAUUGACCUUCAUGAGUUGAGUUAAGACCGGUGUGAGCCAGGUCGGUUCUUAUCUAUUGUAGAAGUUUAUCAGUACGAAAGGAUAGUAAGCUUUUUUAUU